rnacentral:rRNA from 1 species
AGAAUGAACGCUGGCGGCAUGCCUAACACAUGCAAGUCGAACGAGACCUUCGGGUCUAGUGGCGCACGGGUGCGUAACGCGUGGGAAUCUGCCCUUGGGUUCGGAAUAACAGCUAGAAAUGGCUGCUAAUACCGGAUGAUGACGUAAGUCCAAAGAUUUAUCGCCCAAGGAUGAGCCCGCGUAGGAUUAGCUAGUUGGUGAGGUAAAAGCUCACCAAGGCGACGAUCCUUAGCUGGUCUGAGAGGAUGAUCAGCCACACUGGGACUGAGACACGGCCCAGACUCCUACGGGAGGCAGCAGUGGGGAAUAUUGGACAAUGGGCGAAAGCCUGAUCCAGCAAUGCCGCGUGAGUGAUGAAGGCCUUAGGGUUGUAAAGCUCUUUUACCCGGGAUGAUAAUGACAGUACCGGGAGAAUAAGCUCCGGCUAACUCCGUGCCAGCAGCCGCGGUAAUACGGAGGGAGCUAGCGUUAUUCGGAAUUACUGGGCGUAAAGCGCACGUAGGCGGCUUUGUAAGUUAGAGGUGAAAGCCUGGAGCUCAACUCCAGAAUUGCCUUUAAGACUGCAUCGCUUGAAUCCAGGAGAGGUGAGUGGAAUUCCGAGUGUAGAGGUGAAAUUCGUAGAUAUUCGGAAGAACACCAGUGGCGAAGGCGGCUCACUGGACUGGUAUGACGCUGA